CUAUCUUCUUCUGUACGCACCUGAUCUGAUUUUGGAAGCUAAGGAGAGUUGGACCUGAUUAGUACUUGGACAUUAUUAAGUAGGACCAAGAAAGAAUCCAGUCUGAAACCUGGUAAGC
rnacentral:rRNA from 1 species